UGGACUUUAACGGUGCUUUUUUGUGGACUUUAGCGGAACUUGUUAUUGUGGACUUUAACGGUGUUUUCUUGUGGACUUUAGCGGAGGUCAUUUUGUGGACUUUAACGGCGUUGUGGACUUUAGCGUAAAAUUGUUGUGGACUUUAGCGGUGUUGUGGACUUAAGAGGAAUUGUGGACUUUAACGGUGCCACAUAGCUUGUU
rnacentral:lncRNA from 1 species